rnacentral:rRNA from 1 species
GGGCCCGCACAAGCGGUGGAGCAUGUGGUUUAAUUCGAUGCAACGCGAAGAACCUUAUCCUAGAUUUGACAUGCUUGAGAGUCUCUAUGAAAGUAGAGAGUGCCCUUCGGGGAGCUCUUGCACAGGUGCUGCAUGGCUGUCGUCAGCUCGUGUCGUGAGAUGUCGGGUUAAGUCCCUUAACGAGCGAAACCCUUAUCUCUAGUUGCCAGCGGGUAAUGCCGGGGACUCUAGAGAGACUGCCGGUGUCAAACCGGAGGAAGGUGGGGAUGACGUCAAGUCCUCAUGGCCUUUAUGUCUAGGGCUGCACACGUCCUACAAUGGUACGGACAAACGGACGCAAUACCGCGAGGUGGAGCAAAUCCUAGAACCGUACCUCAGUUCGGAUUGCAGGCUGCAACUCGCCUGCAUGAAGCCGGAAUCGCUAGUAA